CACGUAGGGGGCAAGCGUUGUCCGGAUUUAUUGGGCGUAAAGAGCUCGUAGGUGGUUCAGUAAGUCGGGUGUGAAACCUCCAGGCUCAACCUGGAGACGCCACCCGAUACUGCUGUGACUAGAGUCCAGUAGGGGAGCGUGGAAUUCCUGGUGUAGCGGUGAAAUGCGCAGAUAUCAGGAGGAACACCAGUGGCGAAGGCGGCGCGCUGGGCUGGAACUGACACUGAGGAGCGAAAGCGUGGGGAGCGAACAGG
rnacentral:rRNA from 1 species